rnacentral:rRNA from 1 species
CAGCCGCCGCGGUAAUACGGAGGAUACAAGCGUUAUCCGGAAUCAUUGGGUUUAAAGGGUCCGUAGGCGGUCUUGUAAGUCAGUGGUGAAAGCCCAUCGCUCAACGGUGGAACGGCCAUUGAUACUGCAGGACUUGAAUUAUUGGGAAGUAACUAGAAUAUGUAGUGUAGCGGUGAAAUGCUUAGAGAUUACAUGGAAUACCAAUUGCGAAGGCAGGUUACUACCAAUUGAUUGACGCUGAUGGACGAAAGCGUGGGUAGCGAACAGGAUUAGAUACCCCUGUAGUCCCUGUCUCUUAUAC